rnacentral:tRNA from 1 species
GGCUGGUAGCUCAGCCCGGUAGAGCAUUCGACUUUUAAUCGAAGGGUCGCGGGUUCGAACCCCGUCCAGCCUACCA